AGAGUUUGAUCCUGGCUCAGAGCGAACGCUGGCGGCAGGCCUAACACAUGCAAGUCGAACGGACCCUUCGGGGUUAGUGGCGGACGGGUGAGUAACACGUGGGAACGUGCCUUUAGGUUCGGAAUAGCUCCUGGAAACGGGUGGUAAUGCCGAAUGUGCCCUUCGGGGGAAAGAUUUAUCGCCUUUAGAGCGGCCCGCGUCUGAUUAGCUAGUUGGUGGGGUAAUGGCCCACCAAGGCUACGAUCAGUAGCUGGUCUGAGAGGAUGACCAGCCACAUUGGGACUGAGACACGGCCCAAACUCCUACGGGAGGCAGCAGUGGGGAAUCUUGCGCAAUGGGCGAAAGCCUGACGCAGCCAUGCCGCGUGUAUGAUGAAGGUCUUAGGAUUGUAAAAUACUUUCACCGGUGAAGAUAAUGACUGUAGCCGGAGAAGAAGCCCCGGCUAACUUCGUGCCAGCAGCCGCGGUAAUACGAAGGGGGCUAGCGUUGCUCGGAAUUACUGGGCGUAAAGGGAGCGUAGGCGGACAUUUAAGUCAGAGGUGAAAUCCCGGAGCUUAACUUCGGAACUGCCUUUGAUACUGGGUGUCUUGAGUGUGAGAGAGGUAUGUGGAACUCCGAGUGUAGAGG
rnacentral:rRNA from 1 species